rnacentral:rRNA from 1 species
GUCUCUUUGAUUUUGUUUUAUAAAGAGUUGGGCCUGCUCAGUGAUAUUUUUUAACAGCUGCGGUGUUAUAACUGUACUAAGGUAGCAUAAUAAUUUGCCUUAUAAAUUAGGGCUAGAAUGAAUGGUUUGACGAGAGUUAUACUGUCUCUAUUUUAAUUGUUAGAAGUUAAUUUUUAUAGUGAAAAAGCUUGGAUGGUUUAAAGGGACGAGAAGACCCUGUUGAGCUUAAUAUAUAUAUAUAUAUAUAUAUAUUUGGUUGGGGUGAUCAAGGAAUAAAAUGUAAAUAGUUUAACUUCCUUAAAAAUUUUUUUUUGUUAGGAUAAUAAACCAAUUUAUUGCUUUAAUGAUAAGUUACCAUAGGGAUAACAGCGUAAUUUUUUUAGAGAGUUCUUAUUGAAAAAAAAGAUUGCGACCUCGAUGUUGGAUUAAAAUAACCAUUAGGUGUAGAUGCUUUAUUUGGUGAAUCUGUUCGAUUUUUAAAAUUUUACA